AUGAACGCUGGCGGCGUGCUUAACACAUGCAAGUCGAACGGAGCACCCCUGACGGAGUUUUCGGACAACUGAAGGGACUGCUUAGUGGCGGACGGGUGAGUAACGCGUGAGCAACCUACCUUGGAGUGGGGAUAACAGCUGGAAACAGCUGCUAAUACCGCAUGAUAUGUCUGUAUCACAUGGUACUGGACAUCAAAGAUCUAUCGCUCUGAGAUGGGCUCGCGUCUGAUUAGCUAGUUGGUGAGGUAACGGCCCACCAAGGCGACGAUCAGUAGCCGGACUGAGAGGUUGGCCGGCCACAUUGGGACUGAGACACGGCCCAGACUCCUACGGGAGGCAGCAGUGGGGAAUAUUGGGCAAUGGGCGCAAGCCUGACCCAGCAACGCCGCGUGAAGGAAGAAGGCUCCCGGGUUGUAAACUUCUUUUAUCAGGGACGAAGCAAGUGACGGUACCUGAUGAAUAAGCCACGGCUAACUACGUG
rnacentral:rRNA from 1 species